rnacentral:lncRNA from 1 species
UUUUUAUGCAGCUAAUAAUAUAAAGAUGUAAGGAAUAUGUUUUUUGUUUUUUACACAUUAUUUUAAUGUCAAAUAAUAUCUUCAUCUUCUUGCCAUAUUUAAAUGGAAAAUAAUUUUAAUUUUUUUUUGAUAAAUAAUAUAAUUGAUAAUAUUUAUUUUGAUGAUCAUAUCUUCACUUUUUAGAAACAUUUCAUUUUAGAAUAGAAGAGAAAUAAAUAAAGGAAAGAGAUAAAAGGACAAAAUUUC